rnacentral:rRNA from 1 species
CAGGAUGUGAANUCCCCGGGCUCAACCUGGGAACUGCGUUNUGAACUGGGUGACUAGAGUGUNUCAGAGGGAGGUAGAAUUCCACGUGUAGCAGUGAAAUGCGUAGAGAUGUGGAGGAAUACCGAUGGCGAAGGCAGCCUCCUGGGAUAACACUGACGUUCAUGCCCGAAAGCGUGGGUAGCAAACAGGAUUAGAUACCCUGGUAGUCCACGCCCUAAACGAUGUCGAUUAGCUGUUGGGCAGCAUGACUGCUUAGUAGCGAAGCUAACGCGUGAAAUCGACCGCCUGGGGAGUACGGUCGCAAGAUUAAAACUCAAAGGGAUUGACGGGGACCCGCACAAGCGGUGGAUGAUGUGGAUUAAUUCGAUGCAACGCGAAGAACCUUACCUGGUCUUGACAUGUACGGAACCCUCCAGAGACGGAGGGGUGCCUUCGGGAGCCGUAACACAGGUGCUGCAUGGCUGUCGUCAGCUCGUGUCGUGAGAUGUUGGGUUAAGUCCCGCAACGAGCGCAACCCUUGUCAUUAGUUGCCAUCAUUAAGUUGGGCACUCUAAUGAGACUGCCGGUGACAAGCCGGAGGAAGGUGGGGAUGACGUCAAGUCCUCAUGGCCCUUAUGACCAGGGCUUCACACGUCAUACAAUGGUCGGUACAGAGGGUAGCCAAGCCGCGAGGUGGAGCCAAUCUCACAAAACCGAUCGUAGUCCGGAUUGCACUCUGCAACUCGAGUGCAUGAAGUCGGAAUCGCUAGUAAUCGCAGGUCAGCAUACUGCGGUGAAUACGUUCCCGGGUCUUGUACACACCGCCCGUCACACCAUGGGAGUGGGGGAUACCAGAAGUAGGUA